GCGCCGGUAGCUCAGUUGGAUAGAGCGCCUGACUACGGAUCAGGAGGUCGUGGGUUCGAAUCCUUCCCGCGCGCCA
rnacentral:tRNA from 1 species